rnacentral:rRNA from 1 species
CACGUAGGGGGCGAGCGUUGUCCGGAUUUAUUGGGCGUAAAGCGCUCGUAGGCGGCUCAGUAAGUCGGGUGUGAAAACUCCAGGCUCAACCUGGAGACGCCACCCGAUACUGCUGUGGCUAGAGUCCGGUAGGGGAGCAUGGAAUUCCUGGUGUAGCGGUGAAAUGCGCAGAUAUCAGGAGGAACACCAGUGGCGAAGGCGGUGCUCUGGGCCGGAACUGACGCUGAUGAGCGAAAGCGUGGGGAGCAAACAGG